rnacentral:rRNA from 1 species
UACGUAGGGUGCGAGCGUUGUCCGGAAUCAUUGGGCGUAAAGCGCGUGUAGGCGGUCCGGUAAGUCCGCUGUGAAAGUCGGGGGCUCAACCCUCGAAUGCCGGUGGAUACUGUCGGGCUAGAGUGCGGAAGAGGCGAGUGGAAUUCCUGGUGUAGCGGUGAAAUGCGCAGAUAUCAGGAGGAACACCAGCGGCGAAGGCGGCGCUCUGGGCCGGAACUGACGCUGAGGAGCGAAAGCGUGGGGAGCGAACGGG